rnacentral:lncRNA from 1 species
AUUUAGUCCAUAUGUAUGCGGUUAAUAAACCUGUGACGUGAAUUGCUCAUUUUUUUCAUAUGGAAUAGUUUUCGGUAACUUUUGUCCAUAUGUUCUCUCAUCUACGUCAUCAACUAUAUCACAUCUUCAUUGGGUAAUUGUAAAUGGGAGGGUUAUAAACAGAUCAAAUGUGUCCUAAAUGUUAGUUUCUUUAUUAUUUCAAAAACACUGAUAUUUUCUUAAUUUCUAUUGACAAUUUCUUACUCAG